rnacentral:ncRNA from 1 species
AUGAAAGCGUUGAGUAGGAAGAGUAAAAUCGGAACCUUUUAGAGAGAGAGAUCAUUAGCUGAAAGAUCUCUUAAGACGUACGAUUUGAAUGUCGCCUAGGAGCAGCUUUUUUGAACAUGCCAGUUGGCAUUAGUAGAUUUAGCCGGACACUGACCGUUAUCAGAUUGAGGUGUGUAGCCAACAGAGUUUUUUUGAGCUGCAAACAAAGGUGGUACCGCGAAAGUAACUCUCUUCGUCCUUUGG